CAAAGCCUUUGAAAGCUUGAAAACUAAUCCUGUAACCCUGAGUUUGUUCAUCUAGGCCCCUGGUCUUUGAACUGGAUUUCGGCCAUAUAAAGAAAUUGCAGAAAUAAGCAAGAGCUUUAUGAUUAGAAGAUAAACGUCACUCACAGCUUCCACAAAGGUCAGAAGCCACACGGAGAGGUCAAAGAAGAGACAUAAGUUUCCUCUAAAGGUGAGAAG